CAAACAAAAGUGAAACUCCAUCUCAAUAAAUAAAAUAAAAUAAAAUAAAAAUAAAUAAAAAAAUAAAAGUGUAACUUUUUGCCCUGGCACAGUGUCUCCUGCCUGUAAUCCCAGCAUUUUGGGAGGCCGAGGUGGGAGGACUGUUUGAGCUCAGGAGUUUGAGACAAUCCUGGGCAACAUAGUGAGACCUUGUCUCUACAAAAAAUAAAAAAAUUAGCUGGGCGUGGUGGCAGACACCUGUGGCCCCAGCUACUCACCAAGAUGGGCAGAGGAAUUUCCUGAAAGAAGUUCAGGGUGUCCCUUCCAAGAGGGCAAACCUGCGACUCCAUUCUUGAUUUGAAACUUAUCCUGUACGGGAAGGGCCUUCCUGAAUGAAAAUGCCUGACAUCAUCUGGUCCCUGCCUUUUCUU
rnacentral:lncRNA from 1 species